rnacentral:rRNA from 1 species
UACGAAGGGGGCUAGCGUUGCUCUGAAUCACUGGGCGUAAAGCGCACGUAGGCGGCUUGUUAAGUCAGGGGUGAAAUCCUGGAGCUCAACUCCAGAACUGCCUUUGAUACUGGCGAGCUUGAGUCCGGGAGAGGUGAGUGGAACUGCGAGUGUAGAGGUGAAAUUCGUAGAUAUUCGCAAGAACACCAGUGGCGAAGGCGGCUCACUGGCCCGGUACUGACGCUGAGGUGCGAAAGCGUGGGGAGCAAACAGG